CAGACUGGCAGAACUCCCUGAAGCAGCCCUGUGGUGAAGGACGUGGAGUUCUGGUGGAGGAAAAGCUGAUGUGAGCAGCAGUGUGUGCUUGCUGUUCUACAAUUCCUUGCUUUGCCAUCAGUUUGAAGGCUUGGUCACAUUACAAGAAAAAGUGCUAUUACGGAAGAUAAACUUUAGCUGAGGAGCAAAGAUGACAAGGAAGAAAAUGCAGCGUAACAGUGGGUUAUGGAUUGGAACAAAGUGGAACAAAGGAUUCUGAGUGCACAAAUAACUCCACGUGGCUGAAAGAGAGGUGACAGGCACAUCCCCUGCACCAGAAGUUCUGCAGAAUUAUUAAGCUGGGAUUUCAGAAUAUCUUAUUUACUGUCAUGAGCAAAUGGUGAAAGAAAUGAUGUACUGAAGUGGUCUUCAACAAACAGAAGAAACAUUGUGGUCUUCAUAAGAGAUCGCCAUGCAGACAUAAUGCUCAUUAUCUGUGCAGGAGGUCGCCUUUGCAUGCUGGAGGAAAACACUGGAGAUGGGAAAGAUACCUACAGUCCUUCUGUGACUUGGGACAUAAUAAAGUAAACAUGAGUCAGUUUGUUGUGCAAGAGCUCAUUUGGAGCACAAAGACAGGAGUGUGCUGAAUGCAAUUUCCUUUGUAAGUUUCUGAGAUAAAAAACACCACUGGAACUGAAGUGGGGAGCUCCAGUCCUCCAGCACUGAAAUGGAGAUGCAAAUACUUGGAACAGAAGAUUGACCCUGUAAGACUGCCUUGGUGAUGCCUGACAGAUCGUAGGAUCAUUAAGGAACGGUGACCCCACCACCUCCCUGGGCAGCUGUGCCACUGCAGCAAUGGUCUUCUGGAGAAGAAAUGUUUCCUAACAUCCAAUGUGAACCUCUCCUGGAGCAACUUAAGGCCCAUCACCUCUCAUCCUAUUGCUGCUACCUGGAUGCAUAGGCUGACAGCCACCUCACCUCGAACUCUUUUUAGGCAGCUGUAGAGCUCUCUCCCCUCUAAGGAGAGACACUGUAGUUAAGUGCUAUCAAUUCUAUGUGUUUCUAGUACUCUAUAUGUAUAUAGUUAUUGUAAGUUCCCUGUGUGGGGCUGGUUUUGAUGUGUAAAGCAACACAAAUGAAUCCAGUUGCACCAAGACACGCUCCUUCUCCCAAAGAGGAAAGCACAGCUGGUUUCAUAUGGUGACAUAUAACCCUAACUAUUCCUUGCCUUCAUGUUAGCACUUACCACUCUGAGUACCCCAAAAGGGAAAUUGCUACGGGAAGAGCUACUGCCUUUCUUUCACCGUCUGCUUAGAGGUAAUGUGAGCUAAACAUGUGAGGAAGGGACAAAUGUUACCUCUGCCAAAACAGUGAAGAUGGAGGACAGUGGGAAGUAACUUCCAAUAAGCAGAUUGCUCUCCUACCUCAGAUGCCAACUGUGAGAGCCACAGCCUCCUUCCCCUAAGAUGCUCAUUGGAUUCUGUGUUAAUACACCACCCUCCAGACAGGGCUCGAGGAAAAUCACAAUCUAUCUUUGAGUCUGGAAAGAGUUUUAGAGACUUAUGCUAAUCAUAUUUAAUUUCUAUGUGCAAAUGAUUUUAACUAAAUGUAGGCUUCCCUUAGUAUCUUCAAUUAAAAGCUCUGGAUAUACUCCAAAGUUGCAAAUUCCUUCACUAAGCCAGUAGGGAAUGAUAAUGAAUUAUUGCUAAUAUAGUCAUAAAGCUUUUAUUUGCAUAAGUAAUAGGAAGCUAAUGUGUGGAUAAAAUUAAACUUUAAAAUGAAAUAUUAUUAAAACAAAACUGUUAAUGAAUUUGGACACAUUACUGAGCAGGUAUAUUUGGCAGCUGGCUAGAACAGAUAACUCUAAUAGAAGUCUAGUUGAAUCAAAAUCAAUAUUGAACACUACAUAACAUGCUGAAGAUAGUCUAGCAAGUUAUACGUGCUCAUCUUCUCAAUUUGGAGGUGCUUCAUCAUUGUUAGCUUUCACAAUCAUGACUAAAACAAAAGAAGGUGUGAUUAUGGAAGAAGGAGAAAUGAAUCCCCAAAUUGAAGUCUUUUGUUCUCUCUUUAUUGGUAUAAUUAGAUUGUCUUGAGAGAAAGCGUUCUGAAUUCUCACAAGAAAAACUGAAGAUUGAAAACUUGACUUGCAUAAACAGCUUUAUUCCUGAUUAUAUCCAGGUGCUCCAGUGUGGAAAGGUUCAUUAUACCUACAGUGUUAGGCUUUUGUGCUGCCUUUUGUCUAUAAAACAACGUACACAAAACUGCAUAAAGCUCCCUGAGAUGUCUGACCUCCAUAUCCCAAGCCUUCUCCCAUCUGGGCCAGACACAGACCGUGCUGUGAAUGCCAACUUUUUCUGCCAGACCCAUUGAGACAACUUGGGGUCACGGAAUGUUUUGAGUAGAAGAGAAAGAAGCAUUUCUGGAGCCGGAGAUUUCAUUAUUGUGACAAAUGAAUUCAUUUUCUCCGUUCCACAGGUGGGUUCAGCACUUUAUCAUUGUGCAGAAGCCAAAACUCUGACACUUGAAAAGAUGAAAGUUGUCAACUCUCAGCUGGUGUUUCAUCCAAGGGGAAAGGCCUGUGUUGAUUUGAACCAUCUAAGAAUAUGUCCAUAUCUGCCUUCUUUCAGAGCAGGCAUUUCAGAAAUAACCCAGGGAAGUUGCAUUUCUGCAAGGCCUGCGUACCUGACCUACAUACACAGCUUUAAAAAUUCCAGUCCUUAGGAACUACAAUGAAACUCAGCGUUGCUCUGUGUUGCAAAAAAGCCCACUAUGUUUCCCUUUUUCUCAGUAUUUUACAUGAAAAUGCUUUGGCAGGGGGAAA